rnacentral:tRNA from 1 species
GGGGAUAUGGCUGAGCGGCCUAAGCGCCUGCUUGGCAAGUGCAAGGUCUUGAGUUUAAUUCCCAGUGCCCCCC